UACGUAGGGGGCAAGCGUUUGUCCGGAAUUUAUUGGGCGUAAAAGCGCGCGCAGGCGGUCCUUUAAGUCUGAUGUGAAAGCCCACGGCUCAACUGUGGAGGGUCAUUGGAAACUGGGGGACUUGAGUGCAGGAGAGAAGAGUGGAAUUCCACGUGUAGCGGUGAAAUGGCGUAGAGAUGUGGAGGAACACCAGUGGCGAAGGCGACUCUUUGGCCGUGUA
rnacentral:rRNA from 1 species